rnacentral:rRNA from 1 species
AACGAACGCUGGCGGCAUGCCUAACACAUGCAAGUCGAACGAGACCUUCGGGUCUAGUGGCGCACGGGUGCGUAACGCGUGGGAACCUGCCUUUAGGUUCGGAAUAACUCAGAGAAAUUUGAGCUAAUACCGGAUGAUGUCUUCGGACCAAAGAUUUAUCGCCUUUAGAUGGGCCCGCGUUGGAUUAGCUAGUUGGUGGGGUAAAGGCCUACCAAGGCGACGAUCCAUAGCUGGUCUGAGAGGAUGAUCAGCCACACUGGGACUGAGACACGGCCCAGACUCCUACGGGAGGCAGCAGUGGGGAAUAUUGGACAGUGGGCGAAAGCCUGAUCCAGCAAUGCCGCGUGAGUGAUGAAGGCCUUAGGGUUGUAAAGCUCUUUUACCCGAGAUGAUAAUGACAGUAUCGGGAGAAUAAGCUCCGGCUAACUCCGUG